AACGUAGGCCACAAGCGUUGUCCGGAAUUACUGGGUGUAAAGGGAGCGCAGGCGGGAGAACAAGUUGGAAGUGAAAUCCAUGGGCUCAACCCAUGAACUGCUUUCAAAACUGUUUUUCUUGAGUAGUGCAGAGGUAGGCGGAAUUCCCGGUGUAGCGGUGGAAUGCGUAGAUAUCGGGAGGAACACCAGUGGCGAAGGCGGCCUACUGGGCACCAACUGACGCUGAGGCUCGAAAGUGUGGGUAGCAAACAGG
rnacentral:rRNA from 1 species